rnacentral:sRNA from 1 species
AGUGAACUUCGUUUGUAGUGGAAAUCCUUUUAUUUUUUUCUUUAAAAAAUAAAAGAUUGAAACGAUAGCGGGAAAUAGC